rnacentral:lncRNA from 1 species
AGAAUCCGAGUGUCAAAGGCUGCGCCUUCUUGUCCGGAAGAGGUUGCCAGGUCCUGCAGCCUUAGUAAAGAUGAAAAAUGAAGUUGAAAUGCUAGGAAGGGAUUCAUUCGAGAUCAGGAGACGGCAGAAAAAUUCAACAGGUUCGUUGGACUCUUCACUAGAGAACUCUCCAGAGACUCCUAGCAGACGUAUUAGUGUGCUAACCUCCGCAGUGUCAGCUUUGGAAGAAGAGAACAACAACCUCAAGGAAGCUCUCAGCAAAAUGAACAAUGAACUU